rnacentral:rRNA from 1 species
CCUGGCGGCACUAGCGCGGUGGUCCCACCUGACCCCAUGCCGAACUCAGAAGUGAAACGCCGUAGCGCCGAUGGUAGUGUGGGGUCUCCCCAUGCGAGAGUAGGGAACUGCCAGNC